UGUUGGAGGUGCACCUGGAGGGAAACACCUCGUUAGAAGCCCAGCUAUUCAUUCAGCUGAAGGGAGACGUCAGGAAAACACCUGUCAUCUUGGUGUCCGGUCCUUCCCUGCUGCAGUUUGAGCCUCAUCAGAUACACCAGUUCAUGGUUUCCGUAGACCCCGCUGUUCGGGAGAUCAGAACCGUGGUACUUCACUUCUACUCUCAACGCCUCUUGUACUUGUCCUGGAGGAAGACGAGGAUUCGCAUCAGUCAUCUAGUACUGACACAACUACCAAGACACCAGGGGCUAGGAUCUUACAGGACCCGGGGUGUUACAGCAGUAGAGAACCAGAGAGUGGAAGUGUAUCUGCAGAAGGAAGAGUGAAG